AUUGAACGCUGGCGGCAGGCUUAACACAUGCAAGUCGAGCGGAGAUGAGGUGCUUGCACCUUAUCUUAGCGGCGGACGGGUGAGUAAUGCUUAGGAAUCUGCCUAUUAGUGGGGGACAACAUUCCGAAAGGAAUGCUAAUACCGCAUACGCCCUACGGGGGAAAGCAGGGGAUCUUCGGACCUUGCGCUAAUAGAUGAGCCUAAGUCGGAUUAGCUAGUUGGUGGGGUAAAGGCCUACCAAGGCGACGAUCUGUAGCGGGUCUGAGAGGAUGAUCCGCCACACUGGGACUGAGACACGGCUCAGACUCCUACGGGAGGCAGCAGUGGGGAAUAUUGGACAAUGGGGGGAACCCUGAUCCAGCCAUGCCGCGUGUGUGAAGAAGGCCUUAUGGUUGUAAAGCACUUUAAGCGAGGAGGAGGCUACUGAGACUAAUACUCUUGGAUAGUGGACGUUACUCGCAGAAUAAGCACCGGCUAACUCUGUGCCAGCAGCAGCCGCCGUAA
rnacentral:rRNA from 1 species